rnacentral:rRNA from 1 species
ACCCCUACGGGGGGCAGCAGUGGGGAAUCUUGGACAAUGGGGGCAACCCUGAUCCAGCCAUGCCGCGUGAACGAUGAAGGCCUUAGGGUCGUAAAGCUCUUUCGCUGGGGAAGAUAAUGACGGUACCCAGUAAAGAAACCCCGGCUAACUCCGUGCCAGCAGCCGCGGUAA